CCAGACCGUUGUUCUGCUCCUCCCAACUGAUAAUUGCCUAUUUCCCAAAAAAGGAAAAUCGAAUGAAAGAUAAUAAAUACCAAUAUUUGGACUUCUCUUACUUGAAAGAGGACCAUCAAUAAAUAAUAACCGUCCAUUUUUUUACCAAAUUCCGAAAGCUAAAUUCAUCCUAUUGAGUAUAUUUUUCAUUGAUGGCCUUAUCCAUUGUGGAAAACACAUACCAAUGGCCUGGAUUACCUAAAUAUGCUCCCCACUCGUUAGAUCUAAAAUCCCGCGUACUUUCGACAAAUACUCGGCUCUCUAUCCUACGAUUUCCUUCUCAGGUCGUAACGGAUAGUUUCUCCCAUUUGAAUUUUGCAUAUAAAUUCGCAUCUCUAACCCAUUUCUUCUCAUUUUCAAGAAGAUAAAAAGCGAAUCUUCUUCUUCUUCUUCUCGAUUUCUUCACAGAUCUUCUUCCUUGAAGAUCUCAUCAAGCGGUCGAUAUUUUCUCUUGAAUCCUCGAUACUUCCCAUUUCGAUCUAAGGUUCUCGCCAUGGAUUCAAGCUUCAUUUCCCCCCCAUCGACGCAGAUCGGCGGAACCAUUCUAGAUCCGCAGAAGAAAGAAUGUAGCGCCCAGGAGUCGUCAGGAUCCACGUCGAUUGUAAAUGUUGGAAAGAUGAAUGAAUUCGGUUCCAAGGAGUUGUUGGGAUCUGCAUUGGCUGUGAAGGGUGGGAAGAAGAAAGAAUCCGUUGCUGAGAAGUCUCCAGGAUCUUCGUCAACUGUUAAGACUGGAAAGAGUUCUGUCAACAAAAUUUCAUCACAGAUUAAGAAACCCCCUCACCGGAGAAGUACUUCUCCCCUCAACUGGUUCCCAAGGAAAAAGACCGACUCUUUCUUGAAGCGGAAGAUAAGGCUUUUGCAGGAAGUUGGAGGCAUGAAUUCAUCUCUCGAUGAGACUUUGGGUGAUUCAUAUCCUCAUUACUGUAGGGUAGAGAGAGAAAAGAUUGCUGCCAGAGAGGCUGCACGCAAGGCCAUGGAGGCCCGCAAAGCUGCAAUGGUGGAAGCAUCAUGGUGCCGAAUACUUCGAGCAGCCAGGAUUCUGAACAAAGAGGCAGAAUCCCAGCUGAUGAAAGCAGAAAAAAGUGUGACAGAAGCUUUUGAGGAGGCUGCAGCAGUGGGAGUGAUAAUGUAUGACAAGCCUGAUUGUCCACGACAACCAUGUGAAAUAGAAACUUCCCCCACUAUUGGAGGAGGUUCUACUCACACCAUUACUGCAUCUUUCGAAACUGCAUUUGAGGUAGAUAAGGAGGUAGCGGCAGCAGUUAAGACAGCAUUCAUUCGACUGGCACAUUGUCCCACUUCUUCAAAUAAAGAUGAAUUCCAAGACUUGCUUCGAAAGAUCAGCCAGAAUCCAGACAUAAGUGGAACUGAUCAAGAUUUAUCAGAAUGUGAAUCAGAUCAUGGGUCAGAACUGGAAUCAGUUCCACAUAGUACUGGUGACGUGAAUUUUAAGAGACCGGACAUGGAAGUGAGAAGAAGAAUGUACAGGAACAGGAAGCUUCCUUCAAAUGAUACUAUGAAUAUGAAUAGCUCCAAUUCACCAAUGAAGCUUGUUGAUACAAUGCUUGACAGGCUGAAACUACUGCAAGAAGAUGAACUCGCUUCGCUUGCCACCAUAGUUGCGACUUGCGGCUUGAGUGCUGCUCUACUUGAAGAAAACAGUAAGCGGCAUGAUCCUGAUUCUAUUGCCAACUGCACCGUGGGCCCAUCAGUUACUUUCACCAGAGCAGGAUCAAGGAGGGAAUCCUCCAUAGCUUACUUUAUGGAUGGCGAUAUGAAAAGGAAACCAGCUGUUACGGAAGUUCCUAGUCUAGACAAGUUCUUGGUGAAGCAUGUCUCGAGGCUCGAAAGAGAGGUCCAAGAAGCUAAGAACGCAAGGAAAAUUAGUGCGAGGGAAGAUAGUGGGAAAACCAUGGAACGAUCAGAUGGGCACGCUUUGGAAAGCAGUGUGGCUGAUGAUAUGUACACUUUGGAAAGCAGUGCGGCUGAUGAUGGGCGCGCUUCAGAAAGCAGUUUGGCUGAUCCAAAAAGCAUUGCAAGAUUGUCUAACGUUGUACCAGACUUGGGAAGUAUUCUUCUAAAGCAUACUUCCCGACUCGAAAAGGAAAUUGAAGAGGCAAAGAAAACACAAAGAGCAUUUGAAAAAGAUCAUGAAAGGUUCCGAGACGCGAAAGAUAGACUGACGCAGGAUGCAGACAAUGUGGACAAAGAAAAUAUAGACUUGAACAAUUCGAUACCGGCAUUAUUUGACAAGAAAAGUAUGCAAGCAUCAGAUGGGAUUUUGGCUACUAGGAAAGAUUCAUCAACAGUUAAAUACAUGUCACGGAUUGAAAGGGCAAAAUUGGAAGCAAUAGAAGCUUUUGCAGCUCGAGAUGGUGAAGAUAAUGGACUUGACAAGAUCUUUGUCAAGUCGGUGCACAGGUUGGAAAGGGAGAAAAUGCAAGCGUUGGCAUCACGAAAGGACAAUCUGAUUCAAACAGACCAAAAGAAGCAAGAAACUGUGGUUACUUAUGAAAGUCUAGAUAAGGUGCUACUAGUGAAGCAUGUUUCUAGACUUCAGAAAGAAAAAAUGGUGCAUCAGGCAAAUGUAGAAGUGGGGGUAGUAAGGAAGAAGGAAGAGCAGUAUGAGAAAAGUGGAGGGAGCCUGGAUGAGAUCUUAGUCAAACAUCAGUCAGUGCUUGAAAAGGAGAAGUUGGCCAUGGCCCAACAAUUUGUUCAUGCUAAGCAUUCAGAAACGCGUCGAGAAGCAAGAGAGAGGGAGUUGCAAGAAGCAUGGGGAGGACUGAGCUUGGGAAAUUCUAUAAGACCCCAUCUUUCAAAACUGGAGCGAGAAAAGGCUGCUUGGAAAAGAGCUGAGGAAGAGGAGCGAAUGCAAGCAAGGGGCUUGAAUUGCUAGAUUUCAAGACCAAGCAGUAAUCAUCAGCUUCCUGUUCCACCUUGUUUUGUUCAUGAGCCUGCUAUGUCUACCAGCUGAGUUGGAUUUUGAAUCCUAGUCACCCGUGCAGGAACUGGGCCCCUCACCUAUACCUUAUUUGCAAGGUCCUUUUAACUAGGUAACACUCCUGCUUGAAAUCCCCAGUUCAGACACUCGCUCUCUCCCUGCUUUGGACUCUCACACUGCUCCCACUUUGGAUCCACUUUGGACUCUCGCUCCCGCUUCAAAUCCCCACUUCAGAUUCUUGCUCUCAUUCUCAUGUUCUACCUAUGUAUUGUAUACUCGUUUAUGUUUUGAAAGAGAUGCUUCCUGCUCCUACACCCGAAUUUGUUGCUGCUGAUACACGUUUGUUUCUUGAAUAUGUUCCAAAUAUGGAUCAUCAGACUGUCAUUUACCACAUUUCACAUGAAUUCAUGGCCCCACCUUGAGGAAGGACCACAUGGAUUUCAAAAGCCCAUACUCGCCAGUAGCCAUGGCAUUUCUUGAUUUUAAUCAGUUGUAUUUCAUUCCGAAAGAUCUGUUAUUAUGCGUUUUCAGGCUUCUUGGACAAAGGUGUUGGAAGAGGAUUGCUGCCAACCAUGUGAUUUUUCUUUUAUCAGAUUACUGCCAACCUUGAUUGAAGAAGAGUAAGGGAGUACCAACCAUGUGAAUUUUCUUUUAUCAGAUUGCUGCCAACCUUGAUUGAAGAAGAGCAAGGGAGCACCAACCAUGUGAAUUUCUUUUAUCAGAUUGCUGCUACCUUCUCGCUGAAGGGCCCCAUGGUUCAAUGAUCCAGAUCAUUGAAUUGAGCUCAUCCGACCCAUCGUGGAUGGACUUCCCUAAAGAUCUCCCAGAUUGGAAGAUUGUAGCCCAAAUGUUGUUGGCUUUUCGAGUUGAUGUUGAAAUCUUUCUUAAUAAUGUAAAGUUGUUCUAUCA